GAGGGAGGGCACGGGCUGGGUGAGGUGGGGGGAGCUGAGUGAAAGUGACAGGGCAGGGCCACUCCGAGAGACUUUGCUUUGCUCCAGGCAUGAUCUAGCCUUUACUGGAUCCGUCUACGUCACCACCAACAAAGCUAAAGAAUCCAGCUGAAACUCCUCAUCUUUCAUCUGGAAUCCUGGGUGCAAGAAAAAGGGACCACUUCAUAAGCUUACCACAUCCCGACGCAGGUCAACCUAGUCCAAACUCAGCAUCACAUUACUCAUUAAACCGGACUAAACAUGCCUUCCA